rnacentral:lncRNA from 1 species
CUUUUAUCUCUCUUCCUCCUUUACUCGAUUAAAAAAAAAAAACAUUCAGCUCUUAAAAAAAAAAUUCCGGCGAAACUUACUCUCCACACUCGCCGGCGCAUUCUUUGCCAUCUCCGGGAUCAUCUCCGUUUUCGUCGUCGCCGGCGAUUUCUUUGCCUUCUCUGUGGUCGGCGCCAUCGUGUCCAAAGUCACUUGAAUCUUCUUCAAUCACCGUCGUGACCACUCAUCUCAACCUCCCUUCCUUCUCCGCCACCAAAACCGCCAAGCUUGACUCGAAUGUGUCGUCGUUAACAGAGAACAUCAGCCACUGAACAAUAUCUCUUCAUUGUGAGUUCUCUUCUUGGAAUUUCUUUUAGGACUCUUGAAACCUUUUGACUUUUUUUUUU